UUCCUCACAGAUCCUCUAUGAAUAUUCCAGGGCUCCUUGUUUGUCAGGAAGGCUGUCUCGCUUUCAUCUAUUCAGGCUUCUGAUAGACAACCCUGACACCUGCUCCCCGGGGACCCCCUCCGCCAAGUCACUGCACUGUUCCUUGAGAGACUUCCCUUACUUUAUCAGCCCAGAAAGGAUUGUCACAGGCUGGUCACUGUCCUCCUCUGCAGCAUUCUUCUCUCCAAACUAACCCAAAAAUCCAUCCACA